UGGAGGUAGGCUUUUCAUAGCAUGAGUGGGUUAAUCCUAAGUGCGUUAAUCAUUUUGACAUAUCAAAUCAAAUGGUGUGGUCUUAACAUGCAUAAUCAAUUAAGUUCUAGAAUAAUAGUUCAAUACUGACGCACUCAAAGCAAUAAUAAAAGUGAGCAUGAAAGAAUUAAUAGAUGCUCAAAAGGCUCAAAAAUCUCACAAAC
rnacentral:lncRNA from 1 species